GGGGACGUAGCUCAGGGGUAUAGAGCAGCGGUGCGCACAGUUAAGACAGCAGGUCGGUGGUUCGAAUCCAUCCGUCUCCACAA
rnacentral:tRNA from 1 species